AUACCCCCGAGAAAUUGGGGUUAAUCCGCGAUAGGUGUAAUGUCCUGGAAUGGUAUUACGCCUAAAGGUGUAUCAUACAUGUUUGAUAUACGCCUAAGGAUGGGGCUGCGGCCGAUCAGGCUGUUGGUGAGGUAAUGGCUCACCAAACCUUUGACCGGUACGGGCCAUGAGAGUGGUAGCCCGGAGAUGGACACUGAGACAAGGGUCCAGGCCCUAAGGGGCGCAGCAACCGCGAAACCUCCACAAUGCACUCACGUGCGAUGGGGCUAUCUCGAGUGCCACCUGAUGAAGGUGGCUUUUCCUAGGUCUUCAAAGCCUUGGGAAUAAGAGGGGGGCAAGACUGGUGUCAGCCGCCGCGGUAACACCAGCCCCUCGAGUGGUGGGGAUGAUUAUUUGGCCUAAAGCGUCCGUAGCCGGCCGUGAAAGUCUUCCGUUAAAUCCAGCGUCUCAAGCGUUGGACCGCGGGAGAUACUACAUGGCUAGAGAGUGGGAGAGGUCAGCGGUAUUCUGGGGGUAGGGGCGAAAUCCUUUGAUCCCCGGAGGACCACCAGUGGCGAAGGCUGCUGACUAGAACACGUCUGACGGUCAGGGACGAAAGCUGGGGUAGCGAACCGGAUUAGAUACCCGGGUAGUCCCAGCCGUAAACGAUGCAUGCUAGGUGUUGGGUUGGCCACGAGCCACCCCAGUGCCGCAGGGAAGCCGUUAAGCAUGCCGCCUGGGAAGUACGAUCGCAAGAUUGAAACUUAAAGGAAUUGGCGGGGGAGCACCACCAGGCGUGAAGCCUGCGGUUUAAUUGGAGUCAACGCCGGA
rnacentral:rRNA from 1 species